rnacentral:lncRNA from 1 species
GGUGAACACAAUUUGGACAUUGUGGGUGGGUAAGCUUCCAAUCCAAGCUUGGGCCUUGAAAGAUAGAUUUAUACUGGCUGAUGAGAAGAGGGAAGCAGGAGAACUUAGCAGAUGGUGAUGAGCAAGGCAAAGGAUGAAGAAACGGAACAGACAUGAUCCUCACUUGUCAUUUCCUGGCUACCACCCUGGAGCUCUCUGCCUUCACAAUUCCCAGUGUUUGGGAGCUGUUGGAGUUUUAAAAUCUCGACCACACUACAUGGAAACCAUCUUAUCAGAGGACACAAAACUGAGCCUAAAACUAAGCAGAAGGUGUAAGAAUAAGAAGACUCUCCACCCUCCACCCAGGGAUUUUCCAGCCACUCACCCUAAAGGCAGUGUCAAUGAUUCUGGAAAGGAUAGACUUCUUCCCCUUGUUUUAUUCAUUUAUCUUUCUGGAGCCCAGGACCACAGGCCAGCCUAUUCCUAUCCAAUGUAAGGAACCCUGAGCGUCAACCUACGAAGUCAAGGUAAGAGAUUCUUUACCAAGGUUUAAAGUAUUUCAUCUUUUCUCCAUUGUGCUGGGUAUAUCUUUGGUAUAAAGAGCCAAAGGAUUGAAAGCUAAACAUUUGCAACAGCGUGGAUAGAACUAGAGGGUAUAAUGCUAGAAAGACAAUUAUCAUCUGAUCUCAGUCAUAUGUGGAAUUUAAGAAACAAAACAGAGGAUUCUAGGGGAAGGGAAGGAAAAAUAAAUAAGAUGAAAUCAGAGAGGGAGACGAACUA